AGAGUACGUGAAACCGCUUAGAGGUAAACGGGUGGAUCCGCAAAGUCGGCCCGGGGAAUUCAACUUGCCGUUCGGAUGGCGCACGUUGGGUCAGGGAUCCGUAAGGACCCGCCUGGCGUUCGGGUGUCGUCGGCGAGUGCACUUUUCCUCGGGUAUAGCGCCACGACCGGUUUCGGGGCAGUCAGAAGCCAGUCGGGAAGGUAGCCUGCCCUUCGGGGGAGGUGUUAUAGCCCGGCCAGGUCGGCUCGUCUCGAGACCGAGGAUUUGCCGCGUCUCAUUGCCCACGGCUCUCUUCCUGCGUUCGACUGGGGAAGCACUGCUUGCAGUUCUCCCCGACCGCGUGGGUCGAUUCGGUCGUGAAGCACGAGGCGCUUCGGGUCAGUGGCGAAAUCGGUCGGUCCUCCACCCGAC
rnacentral:rRNA from 1 species